rnacentral:rRNA from 1 species
CCUACGGGAGGCAGCAGUGAGGAAUAUUGGUCAAUGGACGAGAGUCUGAACCAGCCAAGUAGCGUGAAGGAUGACUGCCCUAUGGGUUGUAAACUUCUUUUAUAUGGGAAUAAAAUGUUCCACGUGUGGGAUUUUGUAUGUACCAUAUGAAUAAGGAUCGGCUAACUCCGUGCCAGCAGCCGCGGUAAUACGGAGUAUCCGAGCGUUAUCCGGAUUUAUUGGGUUUAAAGGGGGCGUAGGUGGAUUGUUAAGUCAGUUGUGAAAGUGUGGGGCUCAACCGUAAAAUUGCAGUUGAAACUGGCAGUCUUGAGUACAGUAGAGGUGGGCGGAAUUCGUGGUGUAGCGGUGAAAUGCUUAGAUAUCACGAAGAACUCCGAUUGCGAAGGCAGUUCACUGGACUGCAACUGACACUGAGGCUCGAAAGUGUGGGUAUCAAACAGGAUUAGAUACCCCGGUAGUC